UUGGAUAAAAUCAAUGUGAAUCUCAUACUUUAGAAAUUGAUCUCACAUAGAGUAGUAGAGUCCAUAUUGAUUUCAUCUAA
rnacentral:pre_miRNA from 1 species